AUCCCAUGAUGAGGACACUUCCUAAGCAAAUCCUUAAACCUUUCCCAAGCCUUAAACAUAGUUUCAUCUUCAGUUUGCCUAAAAAAGGUUACGCCAUUCCUCUUCUU
rfam:Cicer arietinum chromosome Ca4, whole genome shotgun sequence.